GAAAUGCGAUAAUUAAUGUGAAUUGCAGAAUUCAGUGAAUCAUCGAGUCUUUGAACGCACAUUGCGCCCUCUGGUAUUCCGGAGGGCAUGCCUGUCCGAGCGUCAUUGCUGCCCUCAAGCACGGCUUGUGUGUUGGGCCACCGUCCCCCGUCCGCGGGGGACGGGCCCGAAAGGCAGCGGCGGCACCGCGUCCGGUCCUCGAGCGUAUGGGGCUUCGUCACCCGCUCUUGCAGGCCCGGCCGGCGCCAGCCGACCCCCUCAACCAAAUUUCUCCAGGUUGACCUCGGAUCAGGUAGGGAUACCCGCUGAACUUAA
rnacentral:misc_RNA from 1 species